rnacentral:rRNA from 1 species
AUUGAACGCUGGCGGCAGGCUUAACACAUGCAAGUCGAGUGGGGGAAGGUAGCUUGCUACCGGACCUAGCGGCGGACGGGUGAGUAAUGCUUAGGAAUCUGCCUAUUAGUGGGGGACAACAUCUCGAAAGGGAUGCUAAUACCGCAUACGUCCUACGGGAGAAAGCAGGGGAUCUUCGGACCUUGCGCUAAUAGAUGAGCCUAAGUCGGAUUAGCUAGUUGGUGGGGUAAAGGCCUACCAAGGCGACGAUCUGUAGCGGGUCUGAGAGGAUGAUCCGCCACCCUGGGACUGAGACACGGCCCAGACUCCUACGGGAGGCAGCAGUGGGGAAUAUUGGACAAUGGGGGGAACCCUGAUCCAGCCAUGCCGCGUGUGUGAAGAAGGCCUUAUGGUUGUAAAGCACUUUAAGCGAGGAGGAGGCUACUCUAGUUAAUACCUAGGGAUAGUGGACGUUACUCGCAGAAUAAGCACCGGCUAACUCUGUGCCAGCAGCCGCGGUAA